UGAGCAAUCUGCCCUCCUCUUCGGAAUAAGCGUUGGAAACGACGUCUAAUGCCGAAUACGACCUCCUUUCGCAUGAUUGGAGGUGGAAAGCUCCGGCGGAGAUGGAUGAGCUCGCGGCCUAUCAGCUAGUUGGAGAGGUAACGGCUCACCAAGGCAACGACGGGUAGCUGGUCUGAGAGGAUGGCCAGCCACAUUGGGACUGAGAUACGGCCCAGACUCCGUAACGGGG
rnacentral:rRNA from 1 species